rnacentral:lncRNA from 1 species
GAGCAGGGCCCCUCCCUCAGCAACCUCCGUCCUGCCUGUCCUUGUGGCCACCUGAGUCAGAGUACAGUGUGCCGGGAAGGGGCCCAGAAACGUCAGCACAGCAGGUCCAGUCGUGAGGUUCAUGGAGGAUAAAUUUGAGGGGUUCUCCUGAAAUCAAAUGCUCAAUCUUGUUCUCCACAGUCCAGAUAAAAUCCACCCCCAGGAAGAUAAAAUUCAUUCAGAAACAUAGGCCGCCAGGCGCCAACCGAACAGGGCAAAUGAAGCCACAGCAAAAACACGUCCUGUCAGGUCUUAAGAAUUUCUUGAGAGUCACCGGGCCGGAAGCCUGUUGUUUAUCAGUGGUCAUGAGCGACUGAAUUGAUUUCCUGACCCACUAAUGGGUCACGAUCCUUGGUUUGGAAACAGCUGGACUGGCCCCCUCCUGCUCAGCCUCUGGACCCCAGGAAGGCGACACUCUCUACAGCCAGGCUACCCGGAUGAGAGAGACAGGCAGUUGAACCCCUGCGCCAGGGGUCCUCACCAGAGCCCCUCAGACAGGCUGACACUCACUCAGGUAACUGGACUACACCGCGG